CAGCAGCCACGGUAAUACGAAGGGGGCCAGCGUUGCUCGGAAUCACUGGGCGUAAAGGGUGCGUAGGCGGGUCUUUAAGUCAGGGGUGAAAUCCUGGAGCUCAACUCCAGAACUGCCUUUGAUACUGAAGAUCUUGAGUUCGGGAGAGGUGAGUGGAACUGCGAGUGUAGAGGUGAAAUUCGUAGAUAUUCGCAAGAACACCAGUGGCGAAGGCGGCUCACUGGCCCGAUACUGACGCUGAGGCACGAAAGCGUGGGGAGCAAACAGGAUUAGAUACCCCCGUAGUCCCUGUCUCUUAUAC
rnacentral:rRNA from 1 species